AUGAAUCUAAUAACCACAUUUCUCCUAAUGAUCCUAACAGGACAUUGCACAUCGGAAUAUCUGAAGAAACUCGUCUGCAGCUAUGAGAACAAGAAUAUAAAUCUGAACAAGUCCAGGGUAUGGUGCAAAAGAGAUGCCCAGGAUAACAACUGCUGUACAGGUUUCUCUUUCCAGCGAGGCGACAAAGCUUUGGAGCAAGGCAACAUAUAUGUGGAGGAUGAUGGAAAGUCCUUUACCAUCUCGGUGAAGACUCUCACGCAAGGGGAUGGAGUCUACUGGUGUGGGUUGAUGGCUGAAGAUAAAAUCAUCGUUAAACUGGCCGAAGAUUACUUUACCAAUUCUCCAUUUAACUUUGCUUGGUCCAUCAUCCGCUGGAUUAUAUUUAUUUUGCUCCCUGUGACGAUCAUUUCAUCUCACAUAUAUUCAAACAGAAAGCAUGGAGAUACAAAGACAACAUAA
ensembl:lncRNA